UACGAAGGGUGCAAGCGUUACUCGGAAUUACUGGGGCGUAAAGGGUGCGUAGGUGGUUGUUUAAGUCUGUUGUGAAAGCCCCGGGCUCAACCUGGGAAUGGCAAUGGAUACUGGACAGCUAGAGUGCGGUAGAGGGUAGUGGAAUUCCCGGUGUAGCAGUGAAAUGCGUAGAGAUGGGAGGAACACCAGUGGCGAAGGCGGCUACCUGGACCAGCACUGACACUGAAAGCACGAAAGCGUGGGGGAGCAAAACAGGGA
rnacentral:rRNA from 1 species